rnacentral:rRNA from 1 species
AUUGAACGCUGGCGGCAGGCCUAACACAUGCAAGUCGAGCGGAUGAAGGGAGCUUGCUCCUGGAUUCAGCGGCGGACGGGUGAGUAAUGCCUACGAAUCUGCCUGGUCGUGGGGGAUAACGUCCGGAAACGGGCGCUAAUACCGCAUACGUCCUGAGGGAGAAAGUGGGGGAUCUUCGGACCUCACGCUAUCAGCUGAGCCUAGGUCGGAUUAGCUAGUUGGUGGGGUAAAGGCCUACCAAGGCGACGAUCCGUAACAGGUCUGAGAGGAUGAUCAGUCACACUGGAACUGAGACACGGUCCAGACUCCUACGGGAGGCAGCAGUGGGGAAUAUUGGACAAUGGGCGAAAGCCUGAUCCAGCCAUGCCGCGUGUGUGAAGAAGGUCUUCGGAUUGUAAAGCACUUUUAGUUGGGAGGAAGGGCAGUAAGUUAAUACCUUGCUGUCUUGACGUUACCAACAGAAUAAGCACCGGCUAACUUCGUG